AUUGAACGCUGGCGGCAGGCCUAACACAUGCAAGUCGAACGCGUGGCGGACGGGUGAGUAAUGUCUGGGAAACUGCCUGAUGGAGGGGGAUAACUACUGGAAACGGUAGCUAAUACCGCAUACCCUCGGAUGUGCCCAGAUGGGAUUAGCUAGUAGGUGGGGUAAAGGCUCACCUAGGCGACGAUCCCUAGCUGGUCUGAGAGGAUGACGAGCCACACUGGAACUGAGACAAGGUCCAGACUCAUACGGGAGGCAGCAGGGGGGAAUAUUGCAGAAUGGGCGCAAGCCUGAUGCAGCCAUGCCGCGGGUAUGAAGAAGGCCGUCGGGUUGUAAAGUACUUUAAGCGGGGAGGCGUUACCCGCAGAAGAAGCACCGGCUAACUCCGUGCCAGCAGCCGCGGUAAUUC
rnacentral:rRNA from 1 species